CGGAGAACGCUGGCGGCGUGCCUAACUACAUGCAAGUCGAACGAGAGCGACCAGUGCUUGCACUGGUCAAUCUAGUGGCGAACGGGUGGAGUAACAACGUGGGUAACCGUGCCCAUCAGAGGGGGAGUAACAUUCGGAAACGGAUGCUAAAACCGCAUAGGUCUUCGAACCGCAUGGUUUGAAGAGGAAAAGAGGCGCAAGCUUCUGCUGAUGGAUGGACCCGCGGUGCAUUAGCUAGUUGGUGAGGUAACGGCUCACCAAGGCCGUGAUGCAUAGCCGACCUGAGAGGGUGAUCGGCCACAUUGGGACUGAGACACGGCCCAAACUCCUACGGGAGGCAGCAGUAGGGAAUCUUCCGCAAUGGACGCAAGUCUGACGGAGCAACGCCGCGUGAGUGAAGAAGGUUUUCGGAUCGUAAAACUCUGUUGUUAGAGAAGAACAAGUGCUAGAGUAACUGUUAGCGCCCUGACGGUAUCUAACCAGAAAGCCACGGCUAACUACGUG
rnacentral:rRNA from 1 species